CACACAAAAUAAUAAUAAUAAUUACUCCAACAAAAAACUUACAGGGACCAGAAACCCUAACCUUUCCUCCCUAAAUCUCCCAAAUCGCAGCGCACAAAACCUGCAAUUUAGUUUGUGGAUCUGUUUUGGAGCUUAUUUUGAAGAGAUCUGUGAAGUUUGAGGGGUUUUGCAGGUUAUGCUAUCUAUCUUCAUUUAUAUCUCUAUUGAGUAGUUUAUGAACCUUAAGUUGAAUAGAUGUUGGAUUUUUCUAGAUAUAUAAUUCGAUGUUUAUGUUGGAUUUUAAACCGUUUAUGAACCCUAAAAUUGAAUAUGAUUCCUUGUGUGGUCACUUAUGUAUGAUGGUUGUUUUUUAUAUAUAGUUAUAUUUUAAUUUAAUAGUCUAGAUAGUUCAUGUGUAAGCAUGUAUGAUUUGUUUUGUACAUAUGGGUUCGUAGUUUAGGGCGUAAAAUGGAAGAUAAACAUGAGAAACCAAAACGUGGGCCUACGACUAGGGCUGUUCAUGAGCCGGGCGGAGCCGAAUUAGGGCAAGCUCGGGCUCGACUCGAUUAUAAACAGAGCCGGCUCAGCUUGGCUCGGAUUCAAAACCGAGCUGAAAAUCAAAGCUCCGGCUCGGCUUGGUUUUAAACCGAGCUGGCUCAGCUCGGCUUGGUUUGGUUUGGCUCGGUUUUAAAAUUAAAAAUUAGUACAUAGCUCUAAAAAUUAAGUAGUCUAAAAUAUUAUUCAGUACUUCAAAAGAACAUAUCCAAAAUAAGUUUAACCUAAUACAUCACAAGCCAAAAUCAAGUUAAACAAACACAAAAUAAGUUUUAAAUUAACUUCAAAAAAAUACAAUAUUAGUUCAUUAGCAUAGUAAUCAAUCUUCAAAUAAGUUACAGAUAUCAAAUUACAAACUUAAAUACAUGUAAAUAAUAAUUAGUUUUUGUAAUAUAUUAUAAUGUAUAUAAAAUAAAAUAUAUUACAAGUAAAAUGAUCCGAGCUAAGCCGAGCUAACAAAUGAGCCAAUCCUGCUCGUUACGAGCCGAGUCGAGCUAGACUCACUUUCUAACCGACCCGAGCUGGCUCGGCUUACUUUCAAACCGAGCUAUAUCGAUUGAGUUUUUUCCGAGCUAAAUCCAAUCGACCUUCGAGCCACGAGCUUUCUGAACAGCCCUACAUGCGACUUGCUCAAAGAAAGAUAUUGAUUAUAACAUUGAAUAAAACCAUAAUAUGCAACCGAUUGGAAAAAAAUGUGAAUGAUUACAUUACAUGGUUAGCAGUAAAAUAAAAGACCAAAUUUUCAUAUUAUAUUCAGCAAGAUAAGUUUCAUGAUAGAAAAUGGGAAGAUUUAUGGAUAGAUAUUAAGAUAUUAUGUUUUUUUAAUUUAUUUAUUAUUUUUGUAAUCUUCAAAUAUAAACUUUGCAUUUCACUAAAAAAAACUUGCCAAGUUACAUCAAAACAGAAGGUAGACGAGAACUAAGUUGUGCCGCCCUUCCUUUCUGAAUUGCAAACCCUAACCUUCCAAAGAUAAACCCCUACCCCGGGGCUGAACAAUUGUGAUUUGUUAACUUUUGUUAUUUAUAAAUAUGCAAGAAACAAUGGAAUAUUGUAUAGACUAUCGUUGUAUGUUUGUAACUAUUAGUUAAUAACAAUUUGUUUAUUUAUGUGAGAACAAAACUGAAAAGGCACGAGUAAGUGCAAAGAAGAACAAAUACCCGACUCGCUCAGGACACAAAGGGUUUGCGGUUUGGAGCCCUAAUGUUGAACUUGCAGAAGAUGCGUACACAGAAUCUGUUAAACUAUGUAUGCAAUAAGAUGGGUCUUGGGAGUAUGGAUACCUGGUUAUUUGGUUUAUGCUCGACUUUAUUUUAGACAUGCGAUUUCGUUUUCCAAAUGAUAUAUGGAACGGCAUAACAAGCGUCCCAAAGGAGGAUCACAUCUUAGUGAUGUUAUUGUCACAGGUUGGGAAAGGAGUAGAGGAACACUCGGCUACGGAUAUGGAUGACAUUCGCGAAGAUAGGUCGACUUAUGCGGUUACCUCUAUUUUUAAGUGACAAAUUGUAUUUUAGGUGUUCACGAUAUAUUGACAAACAAUUCUAUUUUUUUUGUUAACGUUAAAAUAUUUGUAGUAUACUAGACAGAUGAUUAUGUAAUGGAUUGUUUUGAUAUAUAUGUAUAUGUGUAUUUGUUUUAUGAAAAAGAUUUAUUGUUUUUGU
rnacentral:lncRNA from 1 species